rnacentral:tRNA from 1 species
GCCCGAGUGGCGGAACAGGUAGACGCAACGGACUUAAAAUCCGUUGAGGUUUUGACCUCGUGCCAGUUCGAUUCUGGCCUCGGGCACCA